UUGACCUCGGAUCAGGUAGGAAUUACCCCCUGA
rnacentral:rRNA from 1 species